rnacentral:sRNA from 2 species
GGGAAGGAUGAGAAGCUUCGACUAAGGUUCGACUCGAGCGAAGCGAGAGAACGUUGCCGCAGGCAACGGCCCGAAGGGCGAGGCGCUUUAGCGCCGAGUAAUCCUUCCCCCACCACCA